rnacentral:piRNA from 1 species
UGUUAACAGAAGUGUGACUGUAGAGGUC